AGUCGAGCGGUAGAGAGAAGCUUGCUUCUCUUGAGAGCGGCGGACGGGUGAGUAAUGCCUAGGAAUCUGCCUGGUAGUGGGGGAUAACGUUCGGAAACGGACGCUAAUACCGCAUACGUCCUACGGGAGAAAGCAGGGGACCUUCGGGCCUUGCGCUAUCGGAUGAGCCUAGGUCGGAUUAGCUAGUUGGUGGGGUAAUGGCUCACCAAGGCGACGAUCCGUAACUGGUCUGAGAGGAUGAUCAGUCACACUGGAACUGAGGCACGGUCCAGACUCCUACGGGAGGCAGCAGUGGGGAAUAUUGGACAAUGGGCGAAAGCCUGAUCCAGCCAUGCCGCGUGUGUGAAGAAGGUCUUCGGAUUGUAAAGCACUUUAAGUUGGGAGGAAGGGCAGUUGCCUAAUACGUAACUGUUUUGACGUUACCGACAGAAUAAGCACCGGCUAACUCUGUGCCAGCAGCCGCGGUAAUACAGAGGGUGCAAGCGUUAAUCGGAAUUACUGGGCGUAAAGCGCGCGUAGGUGGUUUGUUAAGUUGGAUGUGAAAUCCCCGGGCUCAACCUGGGAACUGCAUUCAAAACUGACUGACUAGAGUAUGGUAGAGGGUGGUGGAAUUUCCUGUGUAGCGGUGAAAUGCGUAGAUAUAGGAAGGAACACCAGUGGCGAAGGCGACCACCUGGACUAAUACUGACACUGAGGUGCGAAAGCGUGGGGAGCAAACAGGAUUAGAUACCCUGGUAGUCCACGCCGUAAACGAUGUCAACUAGCCGUUGGAAGCCUUGAGCUUUUAGUGGCGCAGCUAACGCAUUAAGUUGACCGCCUGGGGAGUACGGCCGCAGGGUUAAAACUCAAAUGAAUUGAC
rnacentral:rRNA from 1 species